rnacentral:rRNA from 1 species
UACAGAGACUGCAAGCGUUAUUCGGAUUCACUGGGCGUAAAGGGUGCGCAGGCGGUCGGGUGUGUCAGAUGUGAAAUCCCGAGGCUCAACCUCGGAACUGCGUCUGAAACUACUCGACUAGAGUACUGGAGAGGGUAACGGAAUUCACGGUGUAGCAGUGAAAUUCGUAGAUAUCAGGAGGAACACCAGUGGCGAAGGCGGCUUUCUGGACGAUAACUGACGCUGAGACGCGAAAAGCGUGGGGGAGCAAACAGG